AGCAGCCGCGGUAAUUCCAGCCCCNAUAGCGUAUAUUAAAGUUGUUGCAGUUAAAAAGCUCGUAGUUGAAUUUCGGGAUCAAAUUGUCGGUCGUGCCUCGGUACGUACUGGCGUUAUUGGUUCCUACCUUCUGAAGAACCACGAUGUCAUUAAUUUGGUGUCGCGGGGAAUCAGGACUGUUACUUUGAAAAAAUCAGAGUGUUUAAAGCAGGCUCGCGCUUGAAUACAUUAGCAUGGAAUAAUGAAAUAGGACGUUUGAUUCUAUUUUGUUGGUUUCUAGGAUCGACGUAAUGAUUAAUAGGGAUAGUUGGGGGCAUUAGUAUUCAAUUGUCAGAGGUGAAAUUCUUGGAUUUAUUGAAGACUAACUUCUGCGAAAGCAUUUGCCAAGGAUGUUUUCAUUAAUCAAGAACGAAAGUUAGGGGAUCGAAGACGAUCAGAUACCGUCGUAGUCUUAACCAUAAACUAUGCCGACUAGGGAUCGGAUGAUGUUAAUUUCUUAAUGACUCA
rnacentral:rRNA from 1 species